rnacentral:sRNA from 1 species
UUUUAGCCCCGAUUAUAAUGAAAAUACUUUGAGAGGAAAUUGUUGUUUUUUCUUGAAGGAACAGAGCGACCAGCGGAAGCUCCUGUUACUUUUUAGAAAAAAGCAAUUUACUGAAAAGUAUUGUAAUGCAAAGCGGGAAAAAGC